rnacentral:rRNA from 1 species
GUAGGUGGCAAGCGUUGUUCGGGAAUUAUUGGGGCGUAAAGCGCGCGCAGGCGGUUCUUUAAGUCUGAUGUGAAAGCCCACGGGCUCAACCGUGGAGGGUCAUUGGAAACUGGAGAACUUGAGUACAGAAGAGGAAAGCGGAAUUCCACGUGUAGCGGUGAAAUGCGUAGAGAUGUGGAGGAACACCAGUGGCGAAGGCGGCUUUCUGGUCUGUAACUGACGCUGAGGCGCGAAAGCGUGGGGAGCAAACAGGAUUAGAUACCCUGGUAGUCCACGCCGUAAACGAUGAGUGCUAAGUGUUAGGGGGUUUCCGCCCCUUAGUGCUGCAGCUAACGCAUUAAGCACUCCGCCUGGGGAGUACGGCCGCAAAGGCUGA